AGAGUUUGAUCAUGGCUCAGGACGAACGCUGGCGGCGUGCUUAACACAUGCAAGUCGAGCGGAAAGGCCCUUCGGGGUACUCGAGCGGCGAACGGGUGAGUAACACGUGAGGAACCUGCCCCUAGCUCUGGGAUAGCUUCGGGAAACCGGAAUUAAUACUGGAUAUGACGAUUGUCGGCAUCGACAAUCGUGGAAAGAUU
rnacentral:rRNA from 1 species